AAUGAACGUUGGCGGCGUGGAUUAGGCAUGCAAGUCGAGCGAGAAGGAUCCGGUGCUUGCACUGGAUCUGGACAGCGGCGAAAGGGAGAGUAACGCGUAGGGUAUCUGCCCCCAGGCCUGGGAUAGCGGCGGGAAACUGCCGGUAAUACCGGAUAAUGUCUCCGGACCAAAGGUGAGAUUCCGCCUGGGGAUGGCCCUGCGUCCUAUUAGCUUGUUGGUGAGGUAAUGGCUCACCAAGGCAAAGAUGGGUAGCGGGCGUGAGAGCAUGGCCCGUCUCACUGGGACUGAGACACUGCCCAGACACCUACGGGUGGCUGCAGUCGAGAAUCUUCCGCAAUGGACGAAAGUCUGACGGAGCGACGCCGCGUGCGGGAUGAAGGCCUUCGGGUUGUAAACCGCUGUCAUAGGGGAGGAAAUUUUGACCGAUCCUAAGAGGAAGCACAGGCUAAGUUCGUG
rnacentral:rRNA from 1 species